rnacentral:rRNA from 1 species
UACGUAGGGGGCAAGCGUUGUCCGGAUUUACUGGGCGUAAAGCGCGCGUAGGCGGAACGUUAAGUCCGGUCUGAAAGCCCCCGGCUCAACCGGGGAGGUGGCUGGAACUGGCGUUCUUGAGGGCGAGAGAGGAGGGUGGAAUUCCUGGUGUAGCGGUGAAAUGGCGUAGAGAUCAGGAGGAACACCCGGGGCGAAGGCGGCCCUCUGGCUCGACCCUGACGCUGAGGCGCGAAAGCGUGGGGAGCGAACGGG